rnacentral:lncRNA from 1 species
AAUGGGAGCGUGACGCGCGGCCGGUGGAGACUGCUCUUCGCCCACCUCCAGGACAGAUAAAGUUAUUCCUCUUCCCCUCUUCUGAGUCCUCUGCGCUUUCGGUUUGCUUGGCGCUGAUGUUAUCCCUCUUCUAAACCUAGAGCAGAUGUUUGGUUUUUUCCUUUCUUCCCCCUUUCCUAGGACUCAUGGAACUACAUCUUAUGCUGGUGUUCUUAAAAUACACCGGAAAGAACGGAGGUAAAAAUACUGGAGUGUUUCCUCCACACUGGAAAGAGAUCUGGGGACCCUUCACCUGCCUCUACUACUGCAAAUGAUUGGAUAUUCGUCUGACUUGGCUCUUCCCUAAUGUGUGGAACUAAUUUUGUUCACUCUGUUUCAUGCUGGACCUGGCCUGAAAAUGGGCCCUUAUAUUGUCUUUGCACUUUCCAACUUGCCAAGUUUCUGAAAGAAGGACCAAAGUAAUGCCAAGAACUCCCAGAUGAAGAGGACCUUCCUUAGACCUAUAACAGAUUCACUACUUGACUUCAGAGGGAAGUUUCAGCUAAUUCUCAGGAAAAGGUCAAAACAGGCCUGUGACUGUCCCUUGAAUACUGAAGGUAUAAACAAGCUUCUGGCUCCUCCAGGUCAAGCAGAGGAACACUUUUAUUAGAAUGAAGGGUUACUUCUUUGUUAUUCAAACACACACCCACACACAUCCUCUGUAGUCUCCCUAAUGAAAAACCUCAACAGAUGGAGAGCCUGAGCUCCCAAGUCCGCAGGCUGAGAAGAUGCACUUCACUCAAGGGCCAGUGGGCUGGUACAGACUAGGGAAGAGAAAAGGGACAAAGGCUGCUAGUAUAGGUAAUCACUAUCUUUUAAUACUCCUAACACAUAGAAAUUCGAAAAAUCUUGUUCAGCAAUGUUAGCAGCCUGUGAGCCUCGGAAACUAAUUUGGCUGAUGUGUCUCUGAUAGGGAGCUUGGGGCUGCACCAAGGGGAAACAUUCUCCUCCUGUAUUCUCUCCUCUCUCUCGUUUGAAAGCCUGUACAAAGAAAUGGUACAAAUGGAUGGUUAACUUAAUGAUUCCAUCAGAGGCAGAUUUUUCUCUGUCAGGUCCCUGGAUAAGGUGGAGGUCUGAAAGCCAGGAGACAGAAUAUGUACUUAAUCGCCCUUUCUGACCUGCUUACCAGUGACCAGGACUACUCUCCAGGCCUUUCUUCUGCCACUUCCCCAUUCUUCCUGGCUAGUUCAGUUGGGUCUCAGCACUUCAACUCCUGGCUGGAUCCUGAGUUUUUCUUGGUUGCAGGGAAAGCUCUCACUGUCUGCAUCUCCUUCCCCACCCCCACCUCCCGUUUUGCAGCUGGCCAUUCUGGCUGCCUCACAGCUAUCCUGCCUUAAUUCAUAUUUGAUUGCCUGGACAGAACCACCUAGAAUGUCCAGACGACUGCCACCCCUCAGCCAUGGGCCUGAGAUCCUGCCCUGACCCCUUUCUUCAGACCCCAGGAGGACCCACAAUCUCCCUGAUCCCCACCUUCCCCAAAGUAGUCUCUAGGAAAAAAGCAGAGCUGGCUAAGGCCUGAGACAGAGCCAUUUCUUCCCCUUGGGCAAACGAGGUAGACCCUCCCAGAGACCAAUGCCGGAGAGGCCCGGAUCCGAGCUCCCUUUAUAUGGCCUCCCCCAUCACGGAUCCCGUGGGAAAACCUGACACACAAUGGCGCGGCUGCUCCGGGCACCCUCAACCCAGCGCCCUGCGGCAAGGCCUGGAGCAGCCUGGUGGUCUUGGUGCGCUCCCUUUGCCCUCCCCGCAACCCUCUGCGAGCACUCGUCCCAGGAGAGAGACCCUGGCUAGGGUGGAGGUUGCCUCCCGCAAAGGGCGCUGUUGCUGGGGCCUCCCCUCCCCCAUUCUCUUGUUUUUCUGCUUCUGAGACUCGGGAGGGAGGCGGCAGGCGCCUCCGCAGCCGAUAGAGCAGCUAUUGUGACCUUCCCUUGCAGAGCGGGAACCCAGCCGAGUGUGUACCGCCGGCGGUGGCGGGGGAGGAGGCGACUGUGUGUGCAAACCUCAGUCGGAGAGGGGGUGGCGCUGGGAAAUAAAGGUUUGCAACCUCAGGCAGUUGGGCCCUUCAGAGGGCGUUUGGUUGUGUUUAGACUCGGUUGCUUUCUAACACUAAUUGCAGGCUCAAAAGGAGCGGAAUUUAUUGCGAAGGCCAAGGCGGCUUGUUUAUAAUUUAUGAAGUUUUAAAUGGCUGUGCCGCGGGCCCCAACUUUCUCCUGGGCUGGCAGCCGCGCGGAAACGCGCCCUCCCCCGGCUCGCCGCCCACCCCCACCCACGCCCCUCAGAUGAGUCUCACGCCAAUGGCAGGAACAGAUCCGAGCUAUUAGAAGUCUCGGGAACCUCCAGAGAUGACAGAAGGUGGCAGAUUUGGUCCAAGCCCUCACCCCACUCGAGAGGAGGGCGUCGGGGAAAGCUGUGGCUGCCUGGAGAGGGAGCCCCUGAUCCCACACUUCCUUGGAGCCUGAGUGUGAGAGGAAGCUAAUGUCAGCCGGGCUAGACACCGUUUAAAGUCUAAUCCAUGAAACCCUAAGCCGCAAAUGACACUUGGGGCUUUGCAGACACCCGCAGACUCAGCAGAUACUCCUGCGGUAACACACUGUGCUGGAAAACGCCUGGAGCCAUGACACAUUACGUAUUUUUAUUAUUAUUUAUGGUAGGAAGAGGAGAUGAGGGAAAAUCGGGCUGAAUCUAAGCAGCCUGACAAUUCAGCUAGUUAAUAUUUAGCCAGUUAAGAAAGGUGGUUGUAAUCCCUGCAAGGCAGUGAGCUCUCCUUUGAUUUCUCUAAUAGCUUAAAAAAUAAUUUCUUACAAGACAAUUAGAAAUUCUGCCUAUGGAUGCAAAUUUCAUAGAAAACAAUGUUAAGCCUUGAAAGUGGGUAAAAUGUGCCUUCGAUUGAAGUCAUUUAUUCUGUUGAUACACUUCUACAACAUAUAUAUUUUAAACCUGCUCAGAUAAAGUGAAAUUUAGCAAAAGGAUAUCCCCUCCCACCCCCAAAUCUAACAUGCCAUUUUAAAAACAGCACAAAGGAACAAGGAAACUAAAUAUUAUUUUGAGCCAUCAUUACUUAGUGAAAUACAAACAUCCAAAUAGAAACGAUUGUUGUUCCACCAGAAGAUUAGAAGUUAAAUUAUUUCCACACAAUAGGAAUUUCACUUCGUGUCAUCGGGGAUGUAGUAGGAGUUGCAUUAUUUGUCAAACCAAAUAGAGAUGCGUGGGCUGACUUUGCUGAAAUACAAAAGAAUUGAACCUUAUCUGAAGGCGUUUUCUAAGUGGCCCCUCCCAUAGAAGCCGGGAAGUUGUCCACCCCUAGCAGAAGCCACAUUAAUAUUUACAAAAUGGUUAUAAAUCCUUGAAGACAUUUUUGCCCAUUUUGUAUAAGAAACAGGAGUAAACAAGGUGUUUAUACUUGUUAUGUUUCAUUAAUGAAAUAUUAUUACUUUACAUCUUGGGGAAUGUUUGUUUUCUUUAGAAAUGAACUAAUGAUCACUACAAAGGAAGAAUUCAUGACAGCAUUUCCUAGAGAAAAAGCUUAGGUACGCGUCUCCAAAUGAUGGUUUCUUUUUCUACACCUUAGCUUUUUCAUAGCUCAAUUCUUCUUACAACUUCUCUUGUGUUUUUUCUUUGAUUGUCAGUUUUCUUUCAAAGUUUAUUUUUUGUUACUUAAUGCAGAAAAGUGAGCUCUGGUCUCCCCAGUGUAAAAGUCGAUUGUGUCUAGAAAGAAGGCAGUAAAAACAGCAAAGCAGGCGCUGCUUUCAAAAAGCCCUGCCCAAAUCAUCCCGCCCAGAACCUUCUUAGGUUUGCAUCCUCAUUUCCCCCUCCCCUAAUUUCAAUAGCUGGAAAGUAAUCAAGUAUCCCGAGAACCAAUUUAUGCACUAGACUCCAAAUAAAUAAAAUAUUUUUUUCAAAGUGUCA